UGAGAAUAUAGCUCAGUGGCAGAGCUCUUGCCUAGCGUGCACGAAGCCCUGGGUUCCAUCCCCAGCACCACAA
rnacentral:tRNA from 1 species